CCUACGGGCGGCAGCAGUGAGGAAUAUUGGUCAAUGGACGAGAGUCUGAACCAGCCAAGUAGCGUGAAGGAUGACUGCCCUAUGGGUUGUAAACUUCUUUUGUAAAGGAAUAAAGCGAGGCACGUGUGCCGUUUUGCAUGUACGUUAUGAAUAAGGAUCGGCUAACUCCGUGCCAGCAGCCGCGGUAAUACGGAGGAUGCGAGCGUUAUCCGGAUUUAUUGGGUUUAAAGGGAGCGUAGAUGGGUUGUUAAGUCAGUUGUGAAAGUUUGUGGCUCAACCGUAAAAUUGCAAUUGAUACUGGCAGUCUUGAGUACAGGUGAGGUAGGCGGAAUUCGUGGUGUAGCGGUGAAAUGCUUAGAUAUCACGAAGAACCCCGAUUGCGAAGGCAGCUUACUAAACUGUGACUGACAUUGAGGCUCGAAAGUGUGGGUAUCAAACAGGAUUAGAUACCCGAGUAGUC
rnacentral:rRNA from 1 species